rnacentral:lncRNA from 10 species
GUCUGUCUCAAGGGCGGCAAACUGUGCCUCUCCCUCCUCCUGCAAGGAGAGUCGGGUUGUUCAUAAUGAUAGGUACUCUAUGCCAGGCUUCCUGCCAAGUUAAGAACCACUUUUUAAAAAUCUUCACAACAUUCCUAGGAAAGCCCUAAGCUGCCGUGUAAGGCAUCUGACUACGCUGAAGCCACUACAUUGGAAAGGUCACAUGGAGGAGCUCCAGCUGACAGUCUCGGAGGAGCUCAGCUUCAAGCCAUCCCUGCAAGGUAUCAGCCAUAUAAAUGAAUCAGCCCAGCUGCCAGUCAAGUAUCUUUGCAUGGCUUCCAUCAGUGCCUCAUGAAACGGAAGAUUGACUAGCCAAGACUUGCCCAAAUUCCUGACCCACAAAAUCAUGAGAUAUAAUAAAAUGGUUGUUAUUUUAAGCCACUAAGCA